rnacentral:rRNA from 1 species
AGCGUACACGGUGGAUGCCCUGGCAGUCAGAGGCGAUGAAGGACGUGCUAAUCUGCGAAAAGCGCCGGUAAGGUGAUAUGAACCGUUAUAACCGGCGAUGUCCGAAUGGGGAAACCCGGUGCACUUCGGUGCAUCAUCGUUAGCUGAAUACAUAGGCUAACGAGGCGAACCGGGGGAACUGAAACAUCUAAGUACCCCGAGGAAAAGAAAUCAACCGAGAUUCCCCCAGUAGCGGCGAGCGAACGGGGAACAGCCCAGAGCCUGAAUCAGCUUGUGUGUCAGUGGAACGGUCUGGAAAGGCCGGCGAUACAGGGUGACAGCCCCGUACACGAAGGCACACAGGCUGUGAGCUCGAUGAGUAGGGCGGGACACGUGAUAUCCUGUCUGAAGAUGGGGGGACCAUCCUCCAAGGCUAAAUACUCCUGACUGACCGAUAGUGAACCAGUACCGUGAGGGAAAGGCGAAAAGAACCCCGGCGAGGGGAGUGAAACAGAACCUGAAACCGUGUACGUACAAGCAGUGGGAGCCUUCGUAAGAGGGUGACUGCGUACCUUUUGUAUAAUGGGUCAGCGACUUAUAUUCUGUAGCAAGGUUAACCGUAUAGGGGAGCCGAAGGGAAACCGAGUCUUAACCGGGCGUUAAGUUGCAGGGUAUAGACCCGAAACCCGGUGAUCUAGCCAUGGGCAGGUUGAAGGUUGGGUAACACUAACUGGAGGACCGAACCGACUAAUGUUGAAAAAUUAGCGGAUGACCUGUGGCUGGGGGUGAAAGGCCAAUCAAACCGGGAGAUAGCUGGUUCUCCCCGAAAGCUAUUUAGGUAGCGCCUCGUGAACUCAUCUCCGGGGGUAGAGCACUGUUUCGGCUAGGGGGCCAUCCCGGCUUACCAACCCGAUGCAAACUGCGAAUACCGGAGAAUGUUAUCACGGGAGACACACGGCGGGUGCUAACGUCCGUCGUGAAGAGGGAAACAACCCAGACCGCCAGCUAAGGUCCCAAAGUCAUGGUUAAGUGGGAAACGAUGUGGGAAGGCCCAGACAGCCAGGAUGUUGGCUUAGAAGCAGCCAUCAUUUAAAGAAAGCGUAAUAGCUCACUGGUCGAGUCGGCCUGCGCGGAAGAUGUAACGGGGCUAAACCAUGCACCGAAGCUGCGGCAGCGACGCUUAUGCGUUGUUGGGUAGGGGAGCGUUCUGUAAGCCUGCGAAGGUGUGCUGUGAGGCAUGCUGGAGGUAUCAGAAGUGCGAAUGCUGACAUAAGUAACGAUAAAGCGGGUGAAAAGCCCGCUCGCCGGAAGACCAAGGGUUCCUGUCCAACGUUAAUCGGGGCAGGGUGAGUCGACCCCUAAGGCGAGGCCGAAAGGCGUAGUCGAUGGGAAACAGGUUAAUAUUCCUGUACUUGGUGUUACUGCGAAGGGGGGACGGAGAAGGCUAUGUCGGCCGGGCGACGGUUGUCCCGGUUUAAGCGUGUAGGCUGACUUUCCAGGCAAAUCCGGAAAGUUAAGGCUGAGGCGUGAUGACGAGGCACCACGGUGCUGAAGUGACAAAUGCCCUGCUUCCAGGAAAAGCCUCUAAGCAUCAGGUAACAUCAAAUCGUACCCCAAACCGACACAGGUGGUCAGGUAGAGAAUACCAAGGCGCUUGAGAGAACUCGGGUGAAGGAACUAGGCAAAAUGGUGCCGUAACUUCGGGAGAAGGCACGCUGACAUGUAGGUGAAGCCCCUGCGGGUGGAGCUGAAGUCAGUCGAAGAUACCAGCUGGCUGCAACUGUUUAUUAAAAACACAGCACUGUGCAAACACGAAAGUGGACGUAUACGGUGUGACGCCUGCCCGGUGCCGGAAGGUUAAUUGAUGGGGUUAUCGCAAGAGAAGCUCCUGAUCGAAGCCCCGGUAAACGGCGGCCGUAACUAUAACGGUCCUAAGGUAGCGAAAUUCCUUGUCGGGUAAGUUCCGACCUGCACGAAUGGCGUAAUGAUGGCCAGGCUGUCUCCACCCGAGACUCAGUGAAAUUGAACUCGCUGUGAAGAUGCAGUGUACCCGCGGCAAGACGGAAAGACCCCGUGAACCUUUACUACAGCUUGACACUGAACAUUGAGCCUUGAUGUGUAGGAUAGGUGGGAGGCUUUGAAGCGUGGACGCCAGUCUGCGUGGAGCCGACCUUGAAAUACCACCCUUUAAUGUUUGAUGUUCUAACCUGGCGCCAUAAUCUGGCGUGGGGACAGUGUCUGGUGGGUAGUUUGACUGGGGCGGUCUCCUCCCAAAGUGUAACGGAGGAGCACGAAGGUCAGCUAAUCCUGGUCGGACAUCAGGAGGUUAGUGCAAUGGCAUAAGCUGGCUUGACUGCGAGAGUGACGGCUCGAGCAGGUGCGAAAGCAGGUCAUAGUGAUCCGGUGGUUCUGUAUGGAAGGGCCAUCGCUCAACGGAUAAAAGGUACUCCGGGGAUAACAGGCUGAUACCGCCCAAGAGUUCAUAUCGACGGCGGUGUUUGGCACCUCGAUGUCGGCUCAUCACAUCCUGGGGCUGAAGUAGGUCCCAAGGGUAUGGCUGUUCGCCAUUUAAAGUGGUACGCGAGCUGGGUUUAGAACGUCGUGAGACAGUUCGGUCCCUAUCUGCCGUGGGCGCUGGAGAAUUGAGGGGGGCUGCUCCCAGUACGAGAGGACCGGAGUGGACGCAUCACUGGUGUUCGGGUUGUCAUGCCAAUGGCACUGCCCGGUAGCUAAAUGCGGAAGAGAUAAGUGCUGAAAGCAUCUAAGCACGAAACUUGCCCCGAGAUGAGUUCU